rnacentral:rRNA from 1 species
UACGUAUGGAGCAAGCGUUAUCCGGAUUUACUGGGUGUAAAGGGUGCGUAGGUGGCAGUGCAAGUCAGAUGUGAAAGGCCGGGGCUCAACCCCGGAGCUGCAUUUGAAACUGCUCGGCUAGAGUACAGGAGAGGCAGGCGGAAUUCCUAGUGUAGCGGUGAAAUGCGUAGAUAUUAGGAGGAACAUCAGUGGCGAAGGCGGCCUGCUGGACUGUUACUGACACUGAGGCACGAAAGCGUGGGGAGCAAACAGG